GAUUAGGUAGUUGGUGGGGUAAUGGCCUACCAAGCCUACGAUCUAUAGCUGGUUUGAGAGGAUGAUCAGCCACACUGGGACUGAGACACGGCCCAGACUCCUACGGGAGGCAGCAGUAGGGAAUCUUAGACAAUGGGGGAAACCCUGAUCUAGCCAUGCCGCGUGUGUGAUGAAGGCCUUAGGGUCGUAAAGCACUUUCGCCAGAGAUGAUAAUGACAGUAUCUGGUAAAGAAACCCCGGCUAACUCCGUGCCAGCAGCUGCGGUAAUACGGAGGGGGUUAGCGUUGUUCGGAAUUACUGGGCGUAAAACGCACGUAGGCGGAUUAGUAAGUUAGAGGUGAAAUCCCAGGGCUCAACCCUGGAACUGCCUUUAAUACUGCUAGUCUUGAGUUCGAGAGAGGUAAGUGGAAUUCCGAGUGUAGAGGUGAAAUUCGUAGAGAUCUGAAGGAAUACCGAUGGCGAAGGCAGCCACCUGGGUCAACACUGACGCUCAUGUACGAAAGCGUGGGGAGCAAACGGGAUUAGAUACCCCGGUAGUCCACGCCGUAAACGAUGUCUACUAGAAGCUCGGAGCCUCGGUUCUGUUUUUCAAAGCUAACGCAUUAAGUAGACCGCCUGGGGAGUACGGCCGCAAGGUUAAAACUCAAAUGAAUUGACGGGGGCCCGCACAAGCGGUGGAGCAUGUGGUUUAAUUCGAUGCAACGCGAAGAACCUUACCUACACUUGACAUACAGAGAACUUACCAGAGAUGGUUUGGUGCCUUCGGGAACUCUGAUACAGGUGCUGCAUGGCUGUCGUCAGCUCGUGUUGUGGAUGUUGGGUUAAGUCCCGCAACGAGCGCAACCCCUAUCCUUAGUUGCUAGCAGGUAAUGCUGAGAACUCUAAGGAGACUGCCGGUGAUAAACCGGAGGAAGGUGGGGACGACGUCAAGUCAUCAUGGCCCUUACGUGUAGGGCUACACACGUGCUACAAUGGCGCAUACAGAGUGCUGCGAACUCGCGAGAGUAAGCGAAUCACUUAAAGUGCGUCGUAGUCCGGAUUGGAGUCUGCAACUCGACUCCACGAAGUCGGAAUCGCUAGUAAUCGCGUAUCAGAAUGACGCGGUGAAUACGUUCCCGGGCCUUGUACACACCGCCCGUCACACCAUGGGAGUGGGUUGCUCCAGAAGUAGAUAGUCUAACCCUCGGGAGGACGUUUACCACGGAGUGAUUCAUGACUGGGGUGAAGUCGUAACAAGGUAACCA
rnacentral:rRNA from 1 species